rnacentral:misc_RNA from 1 species
GUAGGUGAACCUGCGGAAGGAUCAUUAACGUGGGGCUUCGGCCCCGCUGAGAUAGAACCCUUGCCUUUUGUAUACCGUCCGUUUCCUCGGCAGGCUCGCCUGCCAAUGGGGACCAAAAUAAACCUUUGUAAUAACCUGUAAUUAGUCUGAUCAAAAAAUUAAAAAUUAAAACUUUUAACAACGGAUCUCUUGGUUCUG